rnacentral:rRNA from 1 species
AAUACGUAGGUGGCAAGCGUUAUCCGGAAUUAUUGGGCGUAAAGCGCGCGCAGGUGGUUUCUUAAGUCUGAUGUGAAAGCCCACGGCUCAACCGUGGAGGGUCAUUGGAAACUGGGAGACUUGAGUGCAGAAGAGGAAAGUGGAAUUCCAUGUGUAGCGGUGAAAUGCGUAGAGAUAUGGAGGAACACCAGUGGCGAAGGCGACUUUCUGGUCUGCAACUGACACUGAGGCGCGAAAGCGUGGGGAGCAAACAG